CUCUGAGGUCGCCCGUGGCCGCAGGAUGAAGCCCCACCCGCUGUACAGGAUGCAAAGCCCUCCUCUAUAAAGUGCGUGCGGGGCCAGAUGCAGUGGCUCACGUCUGACCUCCCAACACUUUGGGAGGCCGAGGCAGGGGCAUCGUUUGAGACCAGCCUGGACAACAUUGUGAGACCCUGUUCCUUGAAUUGCCCUGGGAGAUUUCCUCAGCUUGUACUGGAGGUGUGUGGCCCCAUGAAGCCCAUAGUCACCGUUCACCCUGAGAGACGCUGGCUUUGGGGCUCACAUGCCUGCUGCGGGGCAGCCCCAGGAGAUGGCCACCCUGUUUCUCCUGGAGCUGGAGCUGCGCGUGUUCUCAGCAACUGUGGUGGCUGUCCUGUUUUGUUUGCAUCUUAUAAACCUUUACCUGAUUACAUUUUCCUCUUCAAUUUAGCUGCUAGAAAACUUAAAGUCAGAUUGGUGGCUCACCAGUAAUGAGAGUUUAGAGUAGAGGUAAACUUUAUGACAUAGUCUUAGACUCUUCACUUUCUCCUCAGCCAACAUGAUUCACAUUUACUUUAUUUUGCUGUACUGUGAGUGUCUUUGUGUUUCCUGAAUUCCUUCUGGAAUAAGGCAGGUUGUUAGUAAGCACAGGUUUCUGGUCCAUCUCAUAGCCUCAGGCAGUGGGCGGUGCUGUCCGUGCUCCCUUUCUGGGUUACCUGUGGUAGCUCUGAAGUUGCAGGGCUGCGAUUUGAAGCCUGAUUUAGUACACCGUGUUUCUGUUGUGUUCUGUGGUGGUUUGCUCCUCACAUGUGAGCAUUCACCCUGUGGCCCUGUGUUUUUCCACCACACCUCUGCCUGGUGGCAUCCUACUGGAUGUCUCAGCCGAGCCACUCUGUUCUGAAGACGCCCUUGUCCUCCACCCCUUUGCUUUGGGCUCUGAGCUUCUUCUGCCUUUCAUCUCUGUAGGAUGAAGCCCCACCCGCCCUUCAGGAUGCCAGCCUUGGCAACAUUUGCUUGUAUUGUAGGUGAAACCGCACUGAGAAGGUAUUUGUGGCCCGUAUGCUGAUUGAUUGAUGAGACUUCUUUGCACAGGAGAGCUGCUAAAAAUUACUGCGGUGAACAGGUAUGAAGAAGACUGUUCUCUGCCCUUCUUUUUGCAAUAAAAUGUUACAAACUAUCUUGAGAUUGAUCCCUUUUCGGGUGUUUGGGUUUUUUUUAACAUUCACAUAUUUCUUGGAAUUAUAAGAAAUUAACUUUGUGCUUCUGAAGUGGGUUUCCCUUAAUAUAACACUGAUGUAUUUGUAAGGGGCAUUUUUAAAGUUGUACUUUAAAAAAUAAUAAUUCUUACAUUCGUUUGAAGGUUUUUUGUUUGUUUGUUUGUUUGUUUUUGAGAUGAAGG
rnacentral:lncRNA from 10 species